GAUUAAUUUGCAGUCCCCCGUGGCUGGUAUCCAAGAGGGUGUGUCCAGAGCAUCCCCAAUGUAUGCUGCGCUGCCUGCAAUGUCACUCCAGUGGUGACUGACAAACCCAGAGGUCCUUUACCCCAGCCAGAGCCACAGAGGCAUCAGGCAGAGAGAUUCCCACCGAAAGAACACCCCAUGCAAAGAUAUCUACCCAAGGCCAAAACCCCAGCCUCGCCCACAGCCUGGGAGCUCCGAUAACAGCGGAGGAGGUAAGGACCUUGAGUCCCGUUCAGAUUCCGGAGGCGACUGAUCCGGGAGCACUUGAAACUCCAUACGCAGUGG
rnacentral:lncRNA from 1 species